UCGUGCGUCUUGCAUCUGUUUAUUGAAGAGUAAGGAUCUUAGCUGUAACGUGACAAUUCCCAGGGCUCCAAUAGGCUCUCAGAACCCGGGAAAAACCUGAACGAUGACGAGGCAGCCUCUGGCUGAAACAGAUUAUCGCCUUAUCCAAGUGGCCGAUCAGAGGACCAUUGAAUGAGGCGCGUGCACGAUUCGCCCCCGUGGAGAAAUUUCAUUCGGCUGUUUAGCUUAUUGCAGAUUCCCGGUCGGAAUAUUAUCGCUUUUCUACGAGAUAAAUGGCAUAAAAAUUGGUUUUAAACAGCGGUUGACAUGCUUCGAAGUACGGUAAUGGAAUAUUUAGACAUUUUUUGUCACGCCAUGCUCCAUGCGUGCGACCGUUAUUUACCAUUCGUAUAGUGUCUAGAACGCACGAACAAAACAGAGGAUAUUUGGACAUAACGAUGGAUUAUUUGGGACCAAACCUACAUUUGUUAUUGAAGUAGAAGUCCUGGGAGUGCAUUCUGACGAAGAACAGGAAAGGAAUGGACUACAUCAAGGAUCUCCUGGAAGAACCCUUGCUGCAGCUAGGUGAUGGCACCAGUUUAUCAGAUGAGGAGGACUUCUUCUCUGCCAUGAAAACGUCUCAAGCACAAGAAAGCUCCAAACAGCUGGACGGAUACCUGGCCGGUUCUGUCACGAUUCCCACCGACGGUGGCGCCCCCUCCUGCUCGGGUGGUGCUCGGCGGUCGUCGUCACCGGCCUAUUAGCUGCCACUGAUUCCCUUUUUUGUUUUCCCCCUGUUUGUGAUUGUGUGCACCUGUUCUUAGUGGGGGUGAUUAGCGGGGCUAUUAGUAUUAGCUGGUCCGCUUUCUCAUUGUGCGGGAUUAUUUCCUGUUGCGCUUGUGUUUACGCUUGUGCGUUUGUUUUGCGCCGCAUGUUAUUUCCCCUGUGUUUGGGACACUUUAUUUUGUGUGCGCGUUAUGCGUUGUUUGGGGUGGCUUGUGUGUGCUCGCCUGUUUGACCCUGUUUGACUGGAAGCUUCUGGAAUUCGAACUUCUGUUAUUCGAACUCAAUCAGCAUGACAGAGUGAUCUCCAGCCUUGUCCUCGUCAACACUCACACCUGUGUUAACGAGAGAAUCACUGACAUCAUGUCAGCUGGUCCUUUUGUGGCAGGGCUGAAAUGCAUUGGAAAUGUUUUUUGGGAUUCAGUUCAUUUGCAUGGCAAAGAGGGACUUUGCAAUCAAUUGCAAUUCAUCUGAUCACUCUUCAUAACAUUCUGGAGUAUAUGCAAAUUGCCAUCAUACAAACUGAGGCAGCAGACUUUGUGAAAAUUAAUAUUUGUGUCAUUCUGAAAACUUUUGGCCACGACUGUACACCUGAUGAAAUGUUAACAAGGCGACCAAUGAACACACCAGGGGAAAGCAGCAGAACCAAUCCCAGGUGAGGAUCCAGAUGCUCUGACCAUCUGCGUAGGAGACUGGGUGAAACUGCGAGUCCAUAAAAGAAAAUGGAACCAGCCAAGAUGGACAGGUCCGUUCCAGGUAACCAUGGUAACUCCAACGGCGCUGCGGGUAGCAGAGAGGUCCGGCUGGCAUCAUCUCUCCUACUGCAAGCAUCUCCCAGAUUGGAAGCCAUGGAUGAGUGACUGGAGGGAGGGAGAGCAGGGCUCCGAGAACAUCUGACAGAAGCAGAGGGCCCAGACCAAAUGGCCAGAAAGAAAGAUGAAAAAGAAGGCUCCAGCCAACAAGCAGAAGAAGGAGACAUCAUUUCACACUCACACUCAGGUUCUAUAACUAGGAAACAGAGACUACACCGGGUCUGGUGGUUUGUUUUCCCCAUCAUCCUUUCCAUGGGUCUCCUUGUGGGUGCAGCCACAGGACCCCCUAGGGGAUCUGAGGAAAACAACAAAUGGAUACAAAUGGUGAGAAAAAAAAUUGGAAAUCAGACUAAGAGGCCAGGGACCCAGAUUUUUGUAUUUUGAAAGCCUACAUCAACCACUGAGUUGUUCGGGAGUCAGGUUGUGUCACGUCCUGACCAGUAAAGGGGUCAUUUGUCAUUGUAGUUGGUCAGGGCGAUGCAGGGGGUGUUGUUUUUGUGUGUUUUGGGGUUGGUUUGUUUGUUUUGAGGGGAUUUGUUCUAGUUUUCAUUUUCUAUGUUCAGUUUCUAUGUGUGGCCGAGUAUGGUUUCCAAUCAGAGGCAGGUGUCUUUCGUUGUCUCUGAUUGGAAGCCAUACUUAGGCAGCCCUUUUUUCCUUUGGGUUUGUGGGUGGUUGUUUUCUGUAUGGCCUGUGUGCUUUAUGGAACUGUUUCGUCGUCUGUUUAUUUUGGUUUGAGUGUUCUUCCUAAAUAAAGUAAGAAGAUGAGCACUGUA
rnacentral:lncRNA from 1 species